UACGUAGGGUGCGAGCGUUGUCCGGAAUUACUGGGCGUAAAGAGCUCGUAGGUGGUUUGUCGCGUUGUUCGUGAAAACUCACAGCUUAACUGUGGGCGUGCGGGCGAUACGGGCAGACUGGAGUACUGCAGGGGAGACUGGAAUUCCUGGUGUAGCGGUGGAACGCGCAGAUAUCAGGAGGAACACCGGUGGCGAAGGCGGGUCUCUGGGCAGUAACUGACGCUGAGGAGCGAAAGCGUGGGGAGCGAACAGG
rnacentral:rRNA from 1 species